AUGGACCGUGAGGGAUAAGCUUCGUUGGUCGAGAGGGAAACAGCCCAGACCAUCAGCUAAGGUCCCUAAGAGCAGGCUAAGUGGUAAAUGAGGUAGAAGUGCAAAGACAGCCAGGCGGUUGGCUCAGAAGCAGCCAUCCUUUAAAGAGUGCGUAACAGCUCACUGGUUGAGUGUUUCUGCGCAAACAACCCAGCGGGGCUAAGCCUGUCACCGAAGCUAUGGGUUUCGAUGCAAAUCGAAGCGGUAGGGGAGCGUUCUCUACGCAGCGAAGGCGUUUUGUAAGAAACGUUGGAGUGUAGAGAAGUGAGAAUGUCGGAAUAAGUAGCGCAAGAUGUGUGAGAAACACAUCCACCAAAAGCCUGAGGUUUCCUACGCAAGGUUAAUCCGCGUAGGGUUAGUCGAUCCUAAGCCGAGGCCGAGAGGCGUAGGCGAUGGAUAACAGGUCAAUAUUCCUGUACCACUUUUAUGGAGGCAAAGGGGGGACGCAGUAGGAUAGAUCAAGCGUACCUAUUGGACAUGGUGCGUCUUUCAUCUUAGGCAAGGCCGGGGCAGGGAAAUCCACCUCGGAUGUUAAGCGGAGGAUGAGAGGAAGUCAAGAGGAGACUCAAGGCGACUUGACUGAAUCCAAACUGCCUAGAAAAUUCUCGUUGUCUUUGAAGUAAGAGUGCUCGUACCACAAACCGACUCUGGUAGGCGGGGAUAAAAGUCCCAAGGUGAUCGAGAUAAUCUUCUUUAAGGAACUCGGCAAUCUAACCCCGUAACUUCGGGAUAAGGGGGACCCUCUUCGGAGGGUGACACGAAAAUGGCUCGAGUGACUGUUUAACAAAAACACAGGUCUCUGCUAAAGCGUAAGCUGAAGUAUAGGGGCCGAUACCUGCCCAGCGCCGGAAGGUUAAGGAGAGAUGUUUUAAAAGCAUUGAACCGAAGCCCCGGUAAGCGGCGGCCGUAACUAUAACGGUCCUAAGGUAGCGAAGUACCUUGUCGGGUAAGUUCCGACCUGCACGAAUGGUGUAACGACUUGAGCGCUGUCUCAAAGAGGAACUCGGCGAAAUUGAAAUACCCGUGAAGAUGCGGGUUACUCGUGACUGGACAAAAAGACCCCGUGGAGCUUUACUAUAACUUGGCAUUGAGUCUGGGCUUGUUAUGUGUAGGAUAGGUGGGAGGCUGUGAAGCCAGGGCGCUAGCUCUGGCAGAGCCGACGGUGAAAUACCACUCUUAACGAAUCUAGCCUCUAACUUCAGAUCAAGCUGGAGGACAAUGCCUGGCGGAUAGUUUGACUGGGGCGGUCGCCUCCCAAAAAGUAACGGAGGCGCCCAAAGGUUCCC
rnacentral:rRNA from 1 species